rnacentral:misc_RNA from 1 species
UGCUGCACUGUGACCCUCCGAGGAG